AUUGAACGCUGGCGGCAGGCCUAACACAUGCAAGUCGAACGGUAACAGGAAGAAGCUUGCUUCUUUGCUGACGAGUGGCGGACGGGAGAGCAAUGUCUGGGAAACUGCAUGAUGGAGGGGGAUAACUACUAGAAACGGUAGCUACAACCGAAUAACGUCGCAAGCACCAAGAGGGGGGCCUUAGGGCCUCUUGCCAUCGGAUAUGCCCAGAUGGGUUUAGCUAGUAGGUGGGGUAACGGCUUACCAAGCCGACGAUCCCUAGCUGGGUUGAGAGGAUGACCAGCCACACUGGAACUGAGACACGGUCCAGAGUCCUACGGGAGGACGCAGUGGGGAAUAUUGGACAAUGGACGAAAGCCUGAUGCAGCGAUGCCGCGUGUAUGAAGAAGGGCUUCGGGUUGUAAAGUACUUUAAGCGGGGAGGAAGGGAGUAAAGUUAAUACCUUUGCUCAUUGACGGUACCCGCAGAAGAAGCCCCGGCUAACUCCGUG
rnacentral:rRNA from 1 species